UACGAAGGGUGCAAGCGUUAAUCGGAAUUACUGGGCGUAAAGCGCACGCAGGUGGCUGAGAAAGUCGAUUGUGAAAGCCCUGGGCUUAACCUGGGAAUUGCAGUCGAAACUACUCGGCUAGAGUAUGGGAGAGGACAGUGGAAUUCCCGGUGUAGCGGUGAAAUGCGUAGAUAUCUGGAGGAACACCGGUGGCGAAAGCGGCUCACUGGACCAUAACUGACGCUGAGGUGCGAAAGCUAGGGUAGCAAACGGG
rnacentral:rRNA from 1 species